rnacentral:rRNA from 1 species
GAACGAUGAACCGCUUUCGGGCGGGGAUUAGUGGCGAACGGGUGAGUAACACGUGGGCAAUCUGCCCUGCACUCUGGGACAAGCCCUGGAAACGGGGUCUAAUACCGGAUACGACACUCUCGGGCAUCCGAUGAGUGUGGAAAGCUCCGGCGGUGCAGGAUGAGCCCGCGGCCUAUCAGCUUGUUGGUGAGGUAACGGCUCACCAAGGCGACGACGGGUAGCCGGCCUGAGAGGGCGACCGGCCACACUGGGACUGAGACACGGCCCAGACUCCUACGGGAGGCAGCAGUGGGGAAUAUUGCACAAUGGGCGAAAGCCUGAUGCAGCGACGCCGCGUGAGGGAUGACGGCCUUCGGGUUGUAAACCUCUUUCAGCAGGGAAGAAGCGAAAGUGACGGUACCUGCAGAAGAAGCGCCGGCUAACUACGUGCCAGCAGCCGCGGUAAUACGUAGGGCGCAAGCGUUGUCCGGAAUUAUUGGGCGUAAAGAGCUCGUAGGCGGCUUGUCACGUCGGUUGUGAAAGCCCGGGGCUUAACCCCGGGUCUGCAGUCGAUACGGGCAGGCUAGAGUUCGGUAGGGGAGAUCGGAAUUCCUGGUGUAGCGGUGAAAUGCGCAGAUAUCAGGAGGAACACCGGUGGCGAAGGCGGAUCUCUGGGCCGAUACUGACGCUGAGGAGCGAAAGCGUGGGGAGCGAACAGGAUUAGAUACCCUGGUAGUCCACGCCGUAAACGGUGGGCACUAGGUGUGGGCAACAUUCCACGUUGUCCGUGCCGCAGCUAACGCAUUAAGUGCCCCGCCUGGGGGAGUACGGCCGCAAGGCUAAAACUCAAAGGAAUUGACGGGGGCCCCGCA